rnacentral:rRNA from 1 species
ACGUGAUCUGAGUUCAGACCGGAGUAAUCCAGGUCAGUUUCUAUCUAUAAAGAGCUUUUUUUAGUACGAAAGGACCAAAAAAGCAUGGCCAAUGCUUAUAGUAAGCCAUAAACUAUAAUUUAUGAUUUUAACUUAAUAAAUAAACAGCCUUUUACACCCUCCAAGAAAAGGAA